UAGUAUAGCACCAGGGUUCUGGAGGAAUGUUGUCUCGUUUUUACUGCGUACUGUGUACCACUGUGUAUAGUAGAAAUGACAAUAAAAUCCUCUUGACUUGACUGCAAGGUGCCCAGGUCCAGUUGAGGUAAAACAAGCCGAAAUCAUCACCCUUUCACCACUGUGCUUCACAGUUGUUAUGAGGUUUUUGUGAAAAUAUGCUGUUUGCGCUUUAUUUCAUAGGUGGCAUUGUGCAUUAUGGCAAAACAUCAUUAGCUUUUAGCUAACUGAAACCUGUAGCUUUUAAGAUGGAAUUUUUACAAUUUCUCCCUUAACAUUUUGCAGUUUGACCUUGGGUUGAAUUUCCUGGGAUAUUCAUUCCUGGGAAGAUUAGCAACUGUCUUGAAAUUUUUCCAAUUGUGAAUAACCUCCCUUAGAAUGAUGUACCAUAUUGUUUGAAAAUGCCUUUUAAAAUUUUCUAGAGCAGCAGCUUUUACUUCUCUAAUGUCAAUGCUGAAAUUCACACUUUUUUUUUUUAUUUUGGCCCGAUUUUGUAAUAAAUAAUGACGUGCAUAUCAUGUCUUGUUCAUCUAAGGUUUCAUUAUAUAUUUUAUAUUUAUAUAAUGUUUGUGAAUGAAAUUUUCAGGUAUCCUAAUCCAAAUGAUGCCACACUGUCAUGCGGUAACGGAGGCGGAAGCCAAACUCAAACACAAACAAGGCGGAGCCAACACAAAUACCUGCUGCAAAAGGGGUAAAUCCAGUGAUGCGCUCACAGCGCGGCCCACAACAGUUCAAAGUCUGCGGAAAACCCCAAAUAACCGAGUCCGGGAAAAGAGGAAGGUAUAAUCCCAGGUGCGUGUGGAAAGAGACGCAGCCCACUAGGUCCGGAGUGGGCAGGAAUGACCCUAACGGAGGAAUCCGGGAAAAAAAGGAAGCGAUGCGGUCCGCAAAGUCCGAGUCGGAACGCGAGUCGGGAAAGUUAAAUCCAAAGCGCAUGGAAAGCGGCACAGUCCACGCGCAGUGAGAGAGCGAGUGUCCGAGGAUUGAUCCGCUGGAAAUUCCCAACAUGCAGUCAGAUCUGUGGACAACCAUAAUAAUACCUCCAUCUUCAUUGGUCCGUUUAAUCUGGCACAACUAAAAACAGAGACUUUUAGCCCCAAAAGGAAUAAAAACGUUCCUUUCCUGGAUUUCCUGAGCAUUGGAACCGUUCUCUAAAAGCAAGCAUUAAGAGCAACGAUUUACUGCUUUUAUUUUUUCUGUUAAUGAAUUUCUGACUUCUGAAUCAUGAAGUAUCUUUAUAAUCAUUAUUCAAACCAUAUAUCUGUAUUUAUGAUUAUAUUUAUUCCUAUUAUUAAAUGUGGGAGUUUGAGGUUAAUGAAAUGUGGGGAUUAAUCAGAAUUUAUGAUGAAUUCAUUCAUUCAUUUAAUGAAUGCUUCUAAAGUCAGAUAAAGUAAGAAAUAUAUUUUAUUCUGGGGUAUGAAUGAGUUUUGGUACUUUGGCCUCAUGAUUCGAUGGAAAAAAAAAUUUCAUGUCUGCAUUCUUCUACAGUUUCAAUAAAUUUCUCUCUUUAAAGUCA